rnacentral:rRNA from 1 species
GACGUAUGUUCAGAGUUUGAUCCUGGCUCAGGAUGAACGCUAGCGACAGGCCUAACACAUGCAAGUCGAGGGGCAGCAUGAAAUUAGCUUGCUAAUUUUGAUGGCGACCGGCGCACGGGUGAGUAACACGUAUGCAACCUGCCUGUAAGCGGGGGAUAACCCGGAGAAAUUCGGACUAAUACCGCAUAAUAUCAUAGAUUCGCAUGUUUUUAUGAUUAAAAAUUUAUUGCUUACAGAUGGGCAUGCGUAUGAUUAGCUAGUUGGCGGGGUAACGGCCCACCAAGGCUACGAUCAUUAGGGGUUCUGAGAGGAAGGUCCCCCACAUUGGAACUGAGACACGGUCCAA